UAAAAAGUAAGCUAAAUUUAAGCUUUUGGGCUCAUACCUCAACUAUAGACAAAUAUCUCUUUUUAA
rnacentral:tRNA from 1 species